UUUUAUUAACAAAUUGGACCGAAUGGGCUCCAACCCAGCCAGGGCCCUGCAGCAAAUGAGGUCUAAACUAAAUCAUAAUGCAGCGUUUAUGCAGAUACCCAUGGGUUUGGAGGGUAAUUUUAAAGGUAUUGUAGAUCUUAUUGAGGAACGAGCCAUCUAUUUUGAUGGAGACUUUGGGUAAGUGCUAAAAAUACAUUAUUAAAAUUUUAAAUUUUAAAAAGCAUUAAAAAGAAGGAAAGGAUAAGUUCAUCAAACGCAGAGUAACUAUCUUUUUGAAAUGCGACUGCAAGAAUACUCUGAGAUGGUUUUGUUUUAAUACCUUUAAUCCUAGUCGCUCCCCAUUUUAUUUAGUAUUUAUUCUGUGAGAGACUAUGUUACUUUUUGGGUAAUAUACCCAUAUCACAUUAUGGCAUGCAUGGUGUGGUAGAAGGAGGCCUUCAGUUUGGGUUAGUAAAUUUGGGUUAGUGAAUGUAUUGUAUCUUUUUGCACUUGUUCAUUUAUUCAUUCAUUCUGUGGACUUUUAUAGAGCAGCUGCCAGGUCUGGGGUAUUGUGAUAAAAAUUAGGAAGAAAAUAGAGAUCAUAAAUAUUUGCUCUUCCUGCUUUAUAAUUACAUGGACAGAAAAGAUUAAUAAAUUAAAACAGUUAAAAUUGUACAAAUGUGGUUUGGGAAAUGCAAGAAAUAAGUUGGUAACUUUUUGAUGUGGUAUUUGGUCCAUCAGCUCUUGAGUGACCUUUACCUACAAAGUACUGUAAUUGCCUGGUAGUUAUCAAACCUUAGCGUUGUUCAUAACAAUCCCCUGGAGACUUUGUUAAAAGACAUAGUCCUGGCUCUACCUCCAGAGAUUCUGAUCAGUAGAUUGGGGUGGGGCCCGUAGUUUGCAUUUCUGGAAGGUUUCCAGUUGAUGCUGCUCUUACAGGUCUGCAGACCACACUUUGAGUGACACUGAUCUAGACAAUGUGAGGAGUCAUAAAUGAUCCUUUGUUCUGAGGAGUGACCUCUGUAGCCUGGUCGUUUCUCCACAGGCACUUCCUGAGGGAUUUCCUUCCUCUGCUAUGGAAUUGGGAUCGCAGGUCUGGCAGGUGGGCGAAUGGCAUUGUGAUCAGUGAACUAUAGAAUUUAUCUUCAUCAGCCAUCUUGUAAGCAGGAAAAGGAUGGAGUCUGUCCAGUGGAUAAGGUGUUUCUCUCACUUUUUAUGUAACAACUGAGUAAUGACAACAAAGUUUACCUACCACUCCUUAGGAUAUAAGGCCCAGUAAGGCAGAGUUUUUGUUUUUCUUUUUUCCUACUUUAUUCACUGCUAUGUCCCAGCCCCUAGAACAACUAGUUACAACUAGGCAGUUGUAACUGCCUAGUACAUAAUAGGGACUCAAAAAUAUUUGUAAAUGAAUGAAUAAAUCCACUUUCCCAGAAUUACCAAGGCACAUAUUUCUGUUGUCAGAAGUAGAGACUCUUAAACUUUGUUGUACAUCAGAACCACAGAUGCAGCAUCUUAAUGUACAUGUCCCCUUCCCCAGCCCUAGUUUACUGUAUGUGUAUUUGGAAAGGAAUCCACAGAUGAUUCUGACAUGUGAAAGGCUAAGAAGCAGGGAGCUUGCCAGGAAGGUUGAAAUUAAAAUCUGAAAGUUGUGGGGAGUCUUAGAAUAUUAAGUGUUACUUUUUGUUGGAAAUGGCUUCUUUUGUCUUUAUUAAAGUUAGGAAUGUGUUUUCUGAAAAGCUUACUUUUUGAUAUUAAUUUCCAUUUUUAAAGAAAUAACUUGAGGCCAGGCGCAGUGGCUCACGCCUGUAAUCCCAGCACUUUGGAAGGCCGAGGUGGGCAGAUCACGAGGUCAGGAGAUAGAGACCAUCCUGGCUAACACGGUGAAACCCGUCUCCAUUAAAAAUACAAAAAAUUAGCCGGGCGUGGUGGCGGGUGCCUGUAGUUCCAGCUACUCGGGAGGCUGAGGCAGGAGAAUCUCUUGAACCUGGGAGGCAGAGCUUGCAGUGAGCCGAGAUGGCACCACUGCACUCCAGCCUGGGUGACAGAGCGAGACUCCGUCUC
rnacentral:lncRNA from 10 species